rnacentral:rRNA from 1 species
CCUACGGGGGGCUGCAGUGGGGAAUAUUGGACAAUGGGGGCAACCCUGAUCCAGCCAUGCCGCGUGUGUGAAGAAGGCCCUCGGGUUGUAAAGCACUUUCAGUGAGGAAGAACGCCUGGUGGUUAAUACCCAUCAGGAAAGACAUCACUCACAGAAGAAGCACCGGCUAACUCCGUGCCAGCAGCCGCGGUAAUACGGAGGGUGCGAGCGUUAAUCGGAAUUACUGGGCGUAAAGCGCGCGUAGGUGGCUUGAUAAGCCGGUUGUGAAAGCCCCGGGCUCAACCUGGGAACGGCAUCCGGAACUGUCAAGCUAGAGUGCAGGAGAGGAAGGUAGAAUUCCCGGUGUAGCGGUGAAAUGCGUAGAGAUCGGGAGGAAUACCAGUGGCGAAGGCGGCCUUCUGGACUGACACUGACACUGAGGUGCGAAAGCGUGGGUAGCAAACAGGAUUAGAUCCCGAGUAGUC